rnacentral:lncRNA from 1 species
UUUCUGUACCGGUUCCGGAAGAGCGAAGAAAAAGGGGAUGUUUUGUUAAUAGGAAUAAUAAAGUGUUUAUAGCCGUAGCGAUAUAAACAAGAAUACUCAUCCGAGCCGCAGGAACAUGUACAUAAAGAAUACGAGAAUUUCCACCUUGUUGAAGAUCUAAUGGUGCUACCCGAAGACUUAAAUGAAUAGCCAUCGCUGUUAAGAACAACCGAGAUCCAAUGAGAAUUAGCGCACAGCUUCUGGUCUUUGACAUCAAAAAAUAAGGUUGUAAUAACGAUAACGAAAGGGACAUCUGAUAAUUUUGUCCUAGCUAGUGGAACAAGAAAGACAUGGAUCUAUAUUCAAUACGCAAUCAAAGGAUUUCUCCCAACGAAUAAUUCCCCCUGCUUAGUUUUCGCUCCGCUCGUGCGUGGCACUCCUUGCUGGCGGAGCGGCAUACCGGAAAAAAGAAAAAUUAAAAAAAAAGAAAGAAGAGAGAGCCCCCCCAAAAAACCCGACUCUACUAUUAUCAUCUUUCUAAAAAGAGAUGGUAGUAGUGAAGGGCUCUUCUGACCUGUCGAUAUGGAAUACUGUUUCGGGUACCAAAAGUUUCGAUUUGAUUUAGAUGAUUUCUGUACGUUUUUAAAUAAAGUGCCUUCCCCUCCGGAUAAAAAAGAAAGCCCCGUAUCUGAUCUAUUUUUUCUAAGACACUUUGACGAGCAUACCCGUCCUCAACAAGUGCUGCUUCGAUAUGUUUUUCAAUUGGAAGAUGAGUCUGAACAAAGGAGUCCACAUGUGUUUCGUCAUACACAUAACCCAACCAAUUUGCCCUUAAGCGCAAAUUUAGGUCUCUAAGACGGGUGUUGUCAUCGAGAAGCGGAGGCUCCAGUUCGGGAAUAAAAAAAAGGCUGUUGAUUUUCCGGUGCUCCAGCCUGAGGUUCUGGAGCCCCCCCGGGGUAAGCGAGCGGAUUAGGAAGGGGGUGGGCAACCUCUUCCUCCUCUUCCCCUAAAACGUCGAGGUCGAAAGAGGUCCAGCCCGAGCUCGAACCUUCGUGUGAACCCACACCCACUAUGGAGUUGGAUCCACCGGACGAAUGGCUAGUAGUGGGAAGUACAGGGGAGACGAGAAUAUCGAAUAAAACCGAAUACAAGUUAUA